rnacentral:rRNA from 1 species
GAUGAACGCUGGCGGCGUGCCUAAUACAUGCAAGUCGAACGGCAGCUUGUUCCUCACCAAGGUUCGGAACAGAUGCUAGAUGCUAGAAACUAGAUAGUAGAAGAUUUUCUUCUACCGUUUAGAAUCUAGCGUUUAGAAUCUAUUCAUUCCGAGCUUUAGUGAGGGAUGAAGGCGAGUGGCGGACGGCUGAGUAACGCGUGGGAACGUGCCCCAAAGUGAGGGAUAACUUUCGGAACGGAAGCUAAUACCGCAUAUGAUCUUCGGAUUAAAGCAUUUAUGCGCUUUGGGAGCGGCCCGCGUCGGAUUAGCUUGUUGGUGAGGUAAAGGCUCACCAAGGCGACGAUCCGUAGCUGGUCUGAGAGGAUGAUCAGCCAGACUGGGACUGAGACACGGCCCAGACUCCGUACGGGAGGCAGCCAGUAAGGGAAUCUUCCACAAGUGGGCGAAAGCCUGAUGGAAGCAACGCCGGCGUCGCGAGGAUGGAAGGCCCGUUAC